rnacentral:lncRNA from 12 species
GUUGAAUAUCCUUUAAAGGUAUUGGCAUCUGGUAAACCAGUGUCUGCCGGGUACGGUCUCCACGAUGUACUCAUCUUCAGAGAUUCCUUUAAACAAGCUCUACUACAGCGUUUCCAUCAAGAAGCACAUUGCCUCCUAGCAGUGUCCUUUGUUAUAUGGAUCCUAGAAAGCCUGGGGAUGCUGUGAAU